rnacentral:rRNA from 1 species
GACGAACGCUGGCGGCGUGCUUAACACAUGCAAGUUGAACGAGAAUUUUUCCAGUGAUUUCUUCUCAAUGAUCAUGAAAGAGGAAAUUAGCGAACGGGUGAGUAACACGUGAGAAACCUGCCUUUCACAAAGGGAUAGCCUCGGGAAACCGGGAUUAAUACCUUAUGAAACCAAACAAUCGCAUGAUACAUUGGUUAAAGAUUUAUCGGUGUUAGAUGGUCUCGCGUCUGAUUAACUCGUUGGUGGGAUAAAAGCCUACCAAGGCGACGAUCACUAGCCGGAUUGAGAGGUUGAACGGCCACACUGGAACUGAGACACGGGCCACACUCCUACGGGAGGCACCCCUGGGGAAUUUUGCACAGUGGAAGAAACUCUGAUGCAGCAACGCCUCAUGAGUGAUGAACAUCUUCGGAUUGUAAAACUCUGUCCUUAGUGAAUAUAAUGACAGUAACUAUGAAGCCAGCCCUGGCUAAAUACGUGCCAGCAGCCUCGGUAAUACCUAUGGGGCAAGCGUUGUCCGGAAUUAUUGUGCGUAAAGGGUACGUACGCGGUUGAAUAAGUCCUAAUUAAAAGGCUAUGGGUCAACCAUAGUAUGGUUAGCAAACUGUUGAACUUGAGUAUAUGAGGGGAAAGUGGAAUUCCAUGUGUUGCAGUUAAAUGCGUAGAUAUGUGGUGGAACACCAAUGGGGAAAAGCAACUUUUUUGGAUGCAUCUUUCUCUGAGGUACCAAAGCGUGGGGAGCAAACACGAUUUGAUAUACUGGGUAUUCAUAUGCUGAAUCUCCCAUGGGAAUAACCUCAGGGUACCCCCACACCGAGGGGGGUUAUAAAAAACAAAAAUAAAUCACUCAAUGGAGGUGCCGUUUGGCCAGCGUCUCACAACUC